UAUUAAUGAGUACCUAGCUAAUAAACUAAAGCAGUUGAUAAAAUACUAGGAAAUAGAUAAAGAAUAUGUCAAUGUAAUUGUUUCUGACUUGGCACAAAAAAAAGAUGUGUGUUGUCUAACAUUGAUGGCAAAUGUCAAUGUUCAACACUAGUCUGAAGCCUUUAGACAAUCCUGAGAAACUUUCACACGACAAUGAUGAUUAUGUCAUUAACAUAGCUAAUAGUGAAGAAAUCCUUCAUUUCAACUAUAUUGAGAAUAGUUUAAAAAUUAUUUAUCAUAAGUUUCCACAAUGGGAGGAAGAACAGCCCGUUGCAGACAACUUGUUUGUGAAUAUCUUAACUUCCUCUUCAUAAUAUGUAUUAUAAAUAAUCCUGUGCUGAA
rnacentral:lncRNA from 1 species